AGCAGAGUAGGGGACCGCGCGUUAAGUGCCGCUCGAACGGGGAGUUGUCGGGCGGACGAAAAGGCGACUUGCGGUGCGGUCCCCGCAUCCCGCUGCU
rfam:Clostridium sp. ATCC 29733 genomic scaffold Scaffold162, whole genome shotgun sequence.